GAUGAACGCUGGCGGCGUGCCUAAUACAUGCAAGUCGAGCGAACGGACGAGAAGCUUGCUUCUCUGAUGUUAGCGGCGGACGGGUGAGUAACACGUGGAUAACCUACCUAUAAGACUGGGAUAACUUCGGGAAACCGUAGCUAAUACCGGAUAAUAUUUUGAACCGCAUGGUUCAAAAGUGAAAGACGGUCUUGCUGUCACUUAUAGAUGGAUCCGCGCUGCAUUAGCUAGUUGGUAAGGUAACGGCUUACCAAGGCAACGAUGCAUAGCCGACCUGAGAGGGUGAUCGGCCACACUGGAACUGAGACACGGUCCAGACUCCUACGGGAGGCAGCAGUAGGGAAUCUGCCGCAAUGGGCGAAAGCCUGACGGAGCAACGCCGCGUGAGUGAUGAAGGUCUUCGGAUCGUAAAACUCUGUUAUUAGGGAAGAACAUAUGUGUAAGUAACUGUGCACAUCGAGACGGUACCUAAUCAGAAAGCCACGGCUAACUACG
rnacentral:rRNA from 1 species